AGUGAACGCUGGCGGUAGGCCUAACACAUGCAAGUCGAACGGCAGCACAGUAAGAGCUUGCUCUUACGGGUGGCGAGUGGCGGACGGGUGAGGAAUACAUCGGAAUCUACUUUUUCGUGGGGGAUAACGUAGGGAAACUUACGCUAAAACCCAAUAGGCCUAAGGGUGGAAACAAGGGAACUUCCGAACCUUCCCGGAUGGAAGAACCCGAUUUCGGAUUAGCUAGUUGGCGGGGUAAAGGCCCACCAAGGCGACGAUCCGUAGCUGGUCUGAGAGGAUGAUCAGCCACACUGGAACUGAGACACGGUCCAGACUCCUACGGGAGGCAGCAGUGGGGAAUAUUGGACAAUGGGCGCAAGCCUGAUCCAGCCAUACCGCGUGGGUGAAAAAGGCCUUCGGGUUGUAAAGCCCUUUUGUUGGGAAAGAAAAGCAGCAGGUUAAUACCCCGCUGUUCUGACGGUACCCAAAGAAUAAGCACCGGCUAACUUCGUG
rnacentral:rRNA from 1 species